CUGUGCACCCUCUGUAGUUCUAUGGCCUGGGUGGGCUCUGUCCCCCUGCUGUGGUUCUAUUGUCCUUUUACACCCACACUACAACAAAGUUCUUCAUUGGAAAUGGCAUGUCGCGUUUAACGCAAUGAAAUACAACUUUCAGCAACGGAUCUCUUGGCUCUCGCAUCGAUGAAGAACGCAGCGAAAUGCGAUAAGUAAUGUGAAUUGCAGAAUUCAGUGAAUCAUCGAAUCUUUGAACGCACCUUGCGCCCUUUGGCUAUUCCGAAGGGCAUGCCUGUUUGAGUAUCAUGAACACCUCAACUCUCAUGGCUUGCUGUGAUGAGCUUGGAAUUUGGGGGUCUUGUUGGCUUGUGAGCCAGCUCCUCCUAAAUGAAUUAGCUUGCCGGUGUUUGGUGGCAUCACAGGUGUGAUAACUAUCUACUCUUGUGGUUUCCCAUCAGGUAACCUCCAGUGAUGGAGGUUCGCUGGGGCUCAUAAAUGUCUCUCCUCAGUGAGGACAGAUUUUGACUGUUUGAUCUCAAAUCAGGUAGGACUACCCGCUGAACUUAAGCAUAUCAAUAAAGCGGGAGGA
rnacentral:rRNA from 1 species